AAGCGUUAUCCGGAUUUACUGGGUGUAAAGCGCGCGUAGGCCGCCUUUUAAGUCGGACGUGAAAGCCCUCGGCUCAACCGAGGAACUGCGUUCGAAACUGGGAGGCUUGAGUCCUGGAGAGGGUGGCGGAAUUCCGGGUGUAGGAGUGAAAUCCGUAGAUAUCCGGAGGAACACCGGUGGCGAAGGCGGCCACCUGGACAGGUACUGACGCUGAGGCGCGAAAGCGUGGGGAGC
rnacentral:rRNA from 1 species